AUGUGGCAAAAAUUCCUACAAGGAAAAGACAGCCACGAUUAAAGGAGAAGAGUAGGCAUUUUCCUGUGGCUUACUUUAGUUUCUUGUGAAAGUAAGAGAAAAAAAAAACACUUUUGAUUAACAACGUCUUAAUAAAACAGCACAAAAUAAACUCAAAAACCAAUUUGAACAAGUCCUGGACCAAUCCAGCUCUUAAGUUUUAUCCAACAUGAUUCAUUGCUCACGGCCCACUUUGAUAUUACUCUAUAUUCCCCACGCCUUCUCUUUUUCUUCUUCAC
rnacentral:lncRNA from 1 species